ensembl:lincRNA
GGCCAGAGGCAGCAAAACACCCACAUGGAGGCUGCCUGCAGCUCCCCAGAGGUAUCCAGUGGUUCUGGAGUCUGUUGCAGAUACUGUGUGCCUGGUCCAGGCAGCAGCGCCACCAAAGGUGGUCAGGAGCCAGCCAGGGGUCACGAGAACGAGUCCAGCACACACGUGGCGUGUGUCUGAGCUGGGCUUCCUGAGCAGUGGGCCACUGGUGGGUCACAGCUGUGCAGAGACACCUCUCCUUCAGCCCUGGGGCCAUCGGAGCCCAUGGCCUGUCUUACCCCAGGGUGUCAGGUAGAUACUGUUGUUUUCUCCAUUAUGUGAGAAAUAAUGGAGAACUCUGGUCAGAAACCAAGAGGAUUGCUUUGGGAAGUGAGGGGUGUCCUGGCCAGUGCAUAACCAAGGCAGUUGGUGUCAGGUUUAUAGCAGGUCACUUGGGACGUGUCUGGCCCUAAGAAGUGGGGCUGGCAGGGGCCUGGGGAGCCUUUCUGACCAGGCGUUGCUCACCUUACUGCAGUGAGCCUGAGGAGGCCAGGCAUCCUGCUGCAAAGGCCUCCCGACCUCCUCCUUCAGCUGGCCUGAAGCAGAUAUGAGCUCGGGCUGGCAGCUGAGGGGGCUCCUAGAAGCAGACCUUCCUUGGAGGUUUGGCUCUUGGUCCUGAGAGCCGGCUCUUGGUGCAGGUUUCCCCACUUGCUCUGGAGCGGGACUGUGCUAAAGACCAUGCUGGACAUCCUGCAGACCCUGUCUCUGUCACUGAGCGCUGAUAUUCACAAGGAUCAGCCUUACUAUGACAUCCCCGACGCCCCCUACCGGAUCACGGUUCCUGACACGUACGAAGCCCGUGAGAGCAUUGUGAAGGACUUCGCUGCACGCUGUGCGAUGAUCCUGCAGGAGGCCAUGAAGUGGGCGCCUACCGUCACCAAGUCCCACCUGCAGGAAUAUCUGAACAAACAUCAGAACUGGGUAUCGGGACUGUCCCAGCAAACGGGGCUGGCCAUGGCCACUGAGAGCAUCCUUCACUUUGCUGGCUACAACAAGCAGAACACAACUCUCGGGGCAACUCAGCUGACCGAGCGCCCGGCCUGUGUGAAGAAGGACUACUCCAACUUCAUGGCAUCCCUGAAUUUGCGCAACCGCUACGCAGGCGAGGUGUAUGGAAUGAUUCGGUUCUCAGGCACCACAGGCCAGAUGUCUGACCUGAACAAAAUGAUGGUCCAGGAUCUACAUUCAGCUUUAGACCGCAGUCAUCCUCAGCACUACACGCAGGCCAUGUUCAAGCUGACCACAAUGCUCAUUAGCAGUAAAGGUAACUCACUGAAGCACUGUGGAAUUCUGGGCUCAUUUCUAAAUGAAUGCUGGCCUUGAUGACCCAUAGCCAGGUGGAGUACUGGCCGGAGAAAGAGCAGGAGCUCCCCCAGUAGAGGAGUAUCUCUCAUGAGUGGAAAGUCAAUAAAAGGCCAUCACUGGCCCCAGCUGGUCAACUCUUGUUGGCCCAGAUUACAGGCACCUGCCACCAUGCCCAGCUAAUUUUUGUAUUUUUAGUAGAGACAGGGUUUUAGCAUUUUUGGCCAGGAUGGUCUUGAACUCCUGACCUCAAGUGAUCCACCCACCUUGGCCUCCCAAAGUGCUGGGAUUAUAGGUGUGAGUCACUGGGCCUGGACAUUUUUCUCCAUUUCUAAGAACAGUGGGUUUCUCCUGAAAGGAGAGAAGGAAAGGGAACUGGAAAUAAUAUAUCCUGGGGCCGGGUGCGGUGGCUCACACCUGUAAUCCCAGCACUUUGGGAGGCCGAGGUGGGCAGAUCACGAGGUCAGAAGAUCGAGACCAUCCUGGCUAACACGGUGAAACCCCAUCUCUACUAAAAAUACAAAAAAUUAGCCGGGCGUGGUGGCGGAAGCCUGUAGUCCCACCUACUCGGGAGGCUGAGGCAGGAGAAUGGCGUGAACCCGGGAGGCGGAGCUUGCAGUGAGCGGAGAUCACGCCACAGCACUCCAGCCUGGGUAACACAGCAAGACUCCGUCUCAAAAAUAUAUAUAUAUAUAGAUAUAUAUA